rnacentral:piRNA from 1 species
UGCUAGAUCUCCUGAGAGGUUAGCUGC